ACGGGUGAGUAAUAUAUCGGAACGUGCCCAGUAGUGGGGGAUAGCCCGGCGAAAGCCGGAUUAAUACCGCAUACGACCUACGGGUGAAAGCGGGGGAUCGCAAGACCUCGCGCUAUUGGAGCGGCCGAUAUCAGAUUAGCUAGUUGGUAGGGUAAAAGCCUACCAAGGCGACGAUCUGUAGCUGGUCUGAGAGGACGACCAGCCACACUGGGACUGAGACACGGCCCAGACUCCUACGGGAGGCAGCAGUGGGGAAUUUUGGACAAUGGACGCAAGUCAGAUCCAGCCAUGCCGCGUGCGGGAAGAAGGCCUUCGGGUUGUAAACCGCUUUUGUCAGGGAAGAAAAGCUUCGAGCUAAUAUCUUGGAGUGAUGACGGUACCUGAAGAAUAAGCACCGGCUAACUACGUGCCAGCAGCCGCGGUAAUACGUAGGGUGCAAGCGUUAAUCGGAAUUACUGGGCGUAAAGCGUGCGCAGGCGGUUCUAUAAGACAGAUGUGAAAUCCCCGGGCUCAACCUGGGAACUGCAUUUGUGACUGUAGAGCUGGAGUACGGCAGAGGGGGAUGGAAUUCCGCGUGUAGCAGUGAAAUG
rnacentral:rRNA from 1 species